rnacentral:lncRNA from 1 species
GUUGUGUGCGUAACCAGAGUAUUUGUAACGCUGUUGUAGAAGUAUGUUUAGAGCUGCAUAUGGACUGUGCAUUUAUUUCUUAUUAUACAUAGGGAUGGUGAAAUGUGUGAAUGUUCAACAGAACCCAACACCCAUAUUAGCCAGCGCGAAGAAUAUAACAGACAUAAAUUGUAGUUAUGAUGACAGUAACAAGCCAAACAUGUUAUGGUAUCAGCAGAAGGAUACAGCCAUGGUCUUGAUCGUGUUAAGUUACAGUGCUACAAGUGACCCCACCUAUGAGGAUGGAUUUAAAGGCCGGUUUAAAUUGGAAAGAACAGAAACACUGAAGGGAGUUCUGAAAAUCUCUGAUCUCAGUUCAUCAGACUCGGCUGUUUAUUACUGUGCUGUCAGUAUGCACAGUGCUGUAGUCUUUAUUACCUGCCUGACUAAAAACCAAACCACCAGAUAAACAGGAAAUGCACAAAAAAGCCAAUCUAAUGUUCUUGAGGUUCAAAUGUGACACUAAUGAAAAGGCUUGUUACAGCAUUUCAUUUCUACAUCAAAUAAUAUUUUUGUACAGUUUUUAAUAGAAAACACAAUCAGAUAUAAGUGUUGCUCCCAAACUGAGUACAGGAUCUACCCAGACAGCGGCAUGUGUGCUGGCCAACUUAAC